rnacentral:misc_RNA from 1 species
UUAACUAUUAUUAUAUAGUACUCAGACAUUACUAAACAAAAGAGUUGGGGUCCUCUGGCAGGCGCAGUCAGCCGGAGCCGACGCCUCGAGAGGCGGCCUGCCAAAGCAACAAAGGUAUGUAAACACGGUUUAGAAGUUACCCAUUUCAAAAAACGGGGCGUUCUUUAAUGAUCCUUCCGCAGGUUCACCUACGGAAA